AGCGAACGCUGGCGGUAGGCCUAACACAUGCAAGUCGAACGGCAGCACAGUAAGAGCUUGCUCUUACGGGUGGCGAGUGGCGGACGGGUGAGGAAUACAUCGGAAUCUACUUUUUCGUGGGGGAUAACGUAGGGAAACUUACGCUAAUACCGCAUACGACCUACGGGUGAAAGCAGGGGAUCUUCGGACCUUGCGCGAUUGAAUGAGCCGAUGUCGGAUUAGCUAGUUGGCGGGGUAAAGGCCCACCAAGGCGACGAUCCGUAGCUUGUCUGAGAGGAUGAUCGGCCACACGGGAACUGAGACACGGUCCAGACUCCGACGGGAGGCAGCAGUGGGGAAUAUUGGACAAUGGGCGCAAGCCUGAUCCAGCCAUACCGCGUGGGUGAAGAAGGCCUUCGGGUUGUAAAGCCCUUUUGUUGGGAAAGAAAAGCAGCAGGUUAAUACCCCGCUGUUCUGACGGUACCCAAAGAAUAAGCACCGGCUAACUUCGU
rnacentral:rRNA from 1 species